GCGCUCUCUGGGGCUAUGCAUUUUGGCCGGCCUAAUUGUGUCGGGCGGCUGCCAGUCCCCGUACUUUCGUAUAAGUGGAAACAGCGACGGCUGUGUGCGCGCUGUACUGCUGUGCAAGGUGCAAACGCAAAGUGCUGGGACGACGCGACCAUAGUAAACGCCCUACGAUGAAUCGGAUACACGCGAGAGAUGUGCUUCGUGAGACGCUGUGCGCACACAAGUUCUCGCUACCGAAAGCCGACUCGUUCAGGACGCAUUGAAGCGGACACAGCCUGCAGUGAAAAACAACACGACGGCGGGAUGACGGAUUUCUUGCGAGUCAGCAACGAUAUAUGCAGACGUGGCAAAGCAAAGGAAAAGUGGGCUCUGGGACGAUGUGAUGCAGGAAAGCCCUCUACGAUGGAUCGCAUGCACGCGAAACUGUAGAUGCUUCAAGCAACGUUAGUGCGCGCGCCUUUAUCGACCAUGCCCUCCUCUGCCGAAAGUUGCGUUGAUCUGUUUGCAACGACGGGGAUACGCCCAAAGUGGCCACAUCGUUUCAUUCUUCACCACGCCUGGGCCCACCGAUGUGAAAAGUUAGCUUUAAGUCCCAUCAAUUUUAUUUUAUUUAUUUAGUUUUAUUUAAAAAUACCUUACAGGCCUCCAUUGAGGCAUUGUGUAAGGGGGGCAGUAUGAAAAAGUGGACUUCCAUAGUAGUUACAUAACAAAAAGUUCAUGAACAGUGGUCAUGUAGAUCACAUAAUAAGAAGAGCAAAACAAAAUAAUUAAUUAGUUCAUCAGCAAUGGUAACAAAAGAAAAUCAACAACACUAGCAAAGAUAAAACAUAUAAUAAGGAAAUAUUCAUCGAGUCAAGCACAAUUGAAAUCUUACAGUACUAGGGUUCGAAUAGAAAAAAAAGAAAAGCGACACUACGGUGCUAUACAAUAAGAAAUUGCAAGAAGGUUACAACACAGAGAGCACACUGCGAUAAUGGCAAAUAUUUUUACACCUCGUUGGCCAGAUAACUGGUCAAUGAGUCACGAAAUGCAUCAAUGUUUGUCAGACAUGCGAUGCUAUCUGGCAGGGAAUUCCAACAUCAGACUGCACGUGGAAGCGCAGAGCAGUUGAAUGCACGUGUUGAUCCUUAAAUGUGGGUAUAGCUAAAGUGAUUAUGAAGCUUGUGUGACGUGGAGUAGGGUCUUUUCAAGCAUGCUAGUGUUUCGAGAUGAAUGAAUGAAUUUGUGAAACAGUGUCAGCAAGGCAAUGUCACGUCGAGUACUCAAAGAUUACAAUGAAAGGUUAAGUUUGAUUUGUGAGAUGCUAGACUGAUAGCUGUAUUCGUUAUAAAUGAAGCGGCUUGCCCUGUUCUGAAUUCAUUCCAACAUGUCAGUAAGGUAUUUCUGGUGAGGGGACGAAAUAGGGGAAGCGUACUCGAGUUGAGGGCGAACGAGAGUAAGGUAUGCUAAUUUGCGAACAUUCGAAGAAGCGUUUCUUAAGUUUCGACGCAAGUAACCCAAAGAUUGGGAGGCUUUGGCUGAAACGGAGGUGAUGUGUUCUGACCAAGAAAGAUUUGUAGUGAAUAUAAUGCCUAGAUACUUAUAUUGUGUAGCGAUUGCAACAGUGUCUUUAUUGAUAUUGUAUGAAUGUAGGGAAGGUAUAGGCUUCCGAGUAAAUGACAUUACAUUUUGACGUAUUCAAUGUCAUUAGCCAUUUACUACACCAGUUACUAAUUGGUUCUAGAUCAUGCUGAAGAACCAGAUGGUCGUCUGUAUUAACUAUUGUGCGAUAGACAAUGCAGUCGUCAGCAAAUAUUCUUAUAGUGGAAGACACGUUAUGUGGAAGAUCGUUAAUAAAGAUGAGAAAGAGUAAAGGACCGAGGAUGCUUCCUUGUGGUACACCAGAAGUUACUUCAGUUAAGGAGGACGAGAAGUUAUUUGCAAUGGUGAACUGGUAACGAUUAGAAAGAAAGUUCCGGAGCCAUGAUAAAGUGAGACAGUCCAACUGAAGAGCUGAAAAUUUUGAAAUAAGGCGACAGUGUGCGAAGCGAUCAAACACCUUUGAAAAGUCCAGAAAAAAGCAGUCAGUUUGUUGGUUGUUGUUCAAGUUAGUGUGUAGGUCUGUAACAAAUUCAAGCAACUGUGUCUCGCACGAUAGGCCCUUUCUAAAACCAUGCUGAUUAUGAAAAAAAGAACUUGUUAGUCUUAAGGUGUCUGUAAAUCUGCGAGGCGAUAAUGUGUUCCAGUAACUUGCAAGAAAUGCAUGUCAAGGAGAUUGGUCGGUAUUUUUCGCACGAUGAUUAAAAUACCGGUAUGAUUUUUGCCAUUUUCCAGUCUGUAGGAAGGAGGCCAGUCGCGAGUCACUGCUUAAAUAUGUGAAGAAGAAUUUCACUUGACACUGUUACUGUAUUUUGUAAUAUUUUUUAGUUUAUACCAUCUAUGCCACAAGAAGAAGACAUCUUAAGGUUAUUUAUGAGUGAUGAUAGUCCCUCCAAUGUGAUUUCUAUAGGUUCCAUGUAUUGGUAGCUGAAAUCAGAAACCUAAGGUACGCUUGAAGUGUCCUCCUUCGUGAAUACGGAACUUUAAAAGCAGAUGAACACUCGCUAUUUGGAAGAGGAACACUACUGCUGCUGUGUAAGCAGAUAUCAUUAGAUUCGUGGUUGGGGCUUAUUACUUUCCAAAACUUAGCUGGAUUGUUUUUAAGUAGUUCAGGAAGGUCAUUAGAGAAAUAUUUGUCGUUUGCUUGGCCUAAAGCUGAGCAAUAUGUUUUAAGAUAGCAUUUUAAUUCUGCCAUGAAGAUGAUGUGCGAAGGCUCUUAGCGAUAUUAUACAGUCGUUUCUUUCUGCUCCUCAUGCGCUUGGUGUUCUUGGUGUUCAUCAUGGCUAAUGAAGCUAAAUCACUCCAAGGCUAAACUCGUCUUCUUUACACGAAAUUCCAGCUGCCUCCUGACCACAUAUACACUUAAUCAUGGUUAAAUUUGAAGCAGCGCACGACGACAGACACAAAAGGAACGAACGGGACACCGCUGCACUCUCAACUAGUUUAUAUAAAUAAAUAAAUAAUAAAUAAAUUUCGCAGAAAAACAUGGUUAAUAUACAACAAGACGGUGUACCACGUGCUACAAUGACGUUCAAGCUACAUCAUAUUUUCUAAAAAGCACACUUCGCAAUCGCUCAAAGUUAUCGAUGCUUGGCUAAUGCAGUAAUCUUUUCUUUUUGCGAUGUGGAAGGCCUCGAUCACUUCCCUGGUCACCUGAUCUCUGUGACUGGAAAGUAUUUCAGUCUCAGAGAACAGCGGGGAGCAGCCACACUCCGAACAAUGCCGCCUUAUGUGUGAGUAAGCAUUAUUAGCUAAUGCUCUCUUGUGCUCCGUCAACCUUGUAUUUAUGCACCGGCCAGUUUGGCCGAUGUACAUCUUCCCGCAUGACAUGAGCAAACAGUAUACUACUGCAGUCCUGCACUCAACAAACGAAACAACGUGCUUGACAGAGCACCGAAAACUAUCCUUUUUUGUUGAUCGCCUCCUAUCCAGCCUCGCGCAGAUUUUUCCUAGUCUGUUAGGAGCAGAAAAAACAACAUGUAUUUCAUAUCGGCUGCCUACAUUUUUCAGAUUAUGCGAUAUACUGUGUGCAUAGGGUAUUGAGACACAUUUCUUUUUCUUUUCUUCAGAAUUCCUAUCUUUUUGAGGCUGCUCCAUAGACACACCACUGCGCACAUGACGAACCAACUUCUGUGCUGAUCUGCACAGAACAUGUUCUUCGUAACCCGCACUACCUAAUCUAUCUAUUGUUUAUUGAAACUGUCAUUAAUUUGGUGGGGACAAGAUUACCUACUACACGGAGGCAUAGCCUACUCAUGCCUCCGUGCUGCCUUGGCAAAAUCUUGUCCCCACCAAAUUAAUGACAGUUUCAAUAAACAAUAGAUAGAUUAGGUAGUGCGGGUUACGAAGAACAUGUUCUGUGCAGAUCAGCACAGAAGUUGGUUCGUCAUGUGCGCAGUGGUUUGUCUAUGGAGCAGCCUCAAAAAGAUAGGAAUUCUGAAGAAAAGAAAAAGAAAUGUGUCUCAAUACCCUAUGCACACAGUAUAUCGCAUAAUCUGAAAAAUGUAGGCAGCCGAUAUGAAAUACAUGUUGUUUUUUCUGCUCCUAACAGACUAGGAAAAAUCUGCGCGAGGCUGGAUAGGAGGCGAUCAACAAAAAAGGAUAGUUUUCGGUGCUCUGUCAAGCACGUUGUUUCGUUUGUUGAGUGCAGGACUGCAGUAGUAUACUGUUUGCUCAUGUCAUGCGGGAAGAUGUACAUCGGCCAAACUGGCCGGUGCAUAAAUACAAGGUUGACGGAGCACAAGAGAGCAUUAGCUAAUAAUGCUUACUCACACAUAAGGCGGCAUUGUUCGGAGUGUGGCUGCUCCCCGCUGUUCUCUGAGACUGAAAUACUUUCCAGUCACAGAGAUCAGGUGACCAGGGAAGUGAUCGAGGCCUUCCACAUCGCAAAAAGAAAAGAUUACUGCAUUAGCCAAGCAUCGAUAACUUUGAGCGAUUGCGAAGUGUGCUUUUUAGAAAAUAUGAUGUAGCUUGAACGUCAUUGUAGCACGUGGUACACCGUCUUGUUGUAUAUUAACCAUGUUUUUCUGCGAAAUAAACUAGUUGAGAGUGCAGCGGUGUCCCGUUCGUUCCUUUUGUGUCUGUCGUCGUGCGCUGCUUCAAAUUUAAUCAUGAACUAUCACCAACUCGCCCAACUUUCGACAUUACUGACACUUAAUCACACACCCGCAAAGUCAGCCAUCUCAUACAAAUAUCUAGGACUUCACCUACUAUCCGACGUAUCCUGGAACUGUCACACUGAUUACAUUCUUGCAGCUGCUAACCGCUCCCUUGGCAUGUUAAAACGUGACCUGCGUCACGCUCCUGCACACAUGCAAAAACUUGAGUAUAUUACCCUAAUCCGCAUUAAAAUUGAGUACGCUUCAGCUAUAUGGGACCCGGAACAAGCUUAUAUCAUUGAUAACAUAGAAUCCUUGCAGAACCGUGCUGCUCACUUCAUUUUCUCUGACUACUCUUGUUUCACUAGCUUCACUGCCUUAAGGUAGGUCACCACCUUCGAGAAAAAUUUUACAGUUGCAGUCCAAAAGUUAUAAUUAUGGUUUUGGCUUGUAGGGCUUAGGUAAAUUUAAACUUUAGAAUUAUGAAACUGCUAAAAAUGUAAAACACAAUAUUUAUAAAAAUCAAAAUCUGCCAAAAUAUGCAUGUUGCACCAACAGUCACAACUACAAAAUGGUUGGUGUGAUUGAAAUGCAACUUAGCAGCUAUGUAGUAAGGGCACUAUCCUGUGCAUCUAACCUCCAUGAUCACCCCAUCUCUAAUUUAAGGCACGUUAUUGUAAAAAGAAUGAAAAAGUUUAUAUUUGACAGGUUUGUUUUGCACACAAUUGGCCAUAGUACAAAAAGGUACUGCUCAUUUUCAAUAAUACUGCUUGAGUGCACAACUCAACCUAUAAAGAAGUAGUAUGCAAAAUUGUAUGUAAAAAUGUUUAUCAGAAGGAAAGUUAUCACUGUUCGCAUAAGUGUAGGAUGCAAAAAAUCAUGUUUUGAGAAAAAUGGCUUUAAAGAUUUCAGUCGAAUGUACAUAUAAUAAAGAGACAAUCAAUAUGUCUCCAGCAUCAUAGCUUGGGCCCUCCUCUGAAGUGGCGCAUUCUCCUUUUGAGCGAGCUGAAGCACACAUAUUUUUUUAAGCUCAUUUGUGUCUCCAGCUGACUCUCAUCUAUGUGCGCCACAGCGGGUCCACGCUUGGUAUAUUGAUUCCAUAACUUGCGUUGAUGCUUCUUUUUUGUCCUAUACUUUGCCAUAUUUCAUGGAGUACUGUAACUUUCUCCUUGAAAGGCCACAAAUGAAUCCAAGAGCUUGAAGUGGUGUACGAAAAAGCACAGACGGCCGAGUAAGAACGCGCACAACUUAAACAACAGAGUGCCGCAUCCGUGUAGUGGAAAUUUUCAAAUAAAUCGAAAACAUCAUGCCCCACAAGCUUCAGAAUGUACUUAGACACUUAGCAUUAUGUAAUAUGUAUAAGGAAAAACAUUUGUGACGACAUGGCAGGUGUUGUGGAAUCAGAAACCUUCAGUUUCGAUUUCGAAUGCGUCUUAGGUUGGAAAAAUGGUCAGAACUGUCGAACGGCUUAAGAUAACUACAUAAUUUUUUUGCUAAAUAUUCUUGAAUAGACAAGGAGCUUGAAAAUGUCGAAUUCAAAAAAAUUCUGUUUUGAAGGUGGUGACCUACCUUAAAAGAUUGUGCAGGUCUUGAUAACCUUUCCAUCAUUGUAAACUUGCCCGUUUAUCUCUUUUUCAUAAAAUUUAUUAUCAUCCGUUCCUUCAUGACGAUUUUUUCAGUCACCCUUAGCCAUCUUUCCACACCGUCAUCACCCUCUCAAGAUCAAACACAUCACAUGCCGUACUUCAUCUUUUGCUAAUUCAGUCAUACCAAAAACCAUCAUUGAAUGGAACCAGCUGCCUCGUAAAAUUGCAAUAGAAAGCAAAAUUCAGAAAUUUAAUGACCUUUUAAACUUUAAAGUUUAAUGUUCUGCUCUAUUCUCAAUUACCCAUUUGAUUCUUAUUUUGUACUGUAUUAUGUUAUUCUGUUAUCUUGUGUUGCAUUAUUAUGUUGCGUUUUUAAAUAUCUUUUUUCAAUAUUUUCAAUAUGUGUUGCGUUAUUGUGUUGCUUUUUUCAGUAUGCUUAAGCAAGUCUUGUUAUUUUUGCUAAUUUUUAUGUUUGCUGUCUCUGUAUUGUAUCUUUUCUUCUUUUGCUACCCCCCUAUGUAAUACCCUCCCAGUGAGGGUGUUCGGGGGUUUCCUGAAAUAAAAAAAAUAAAUAAAAGUCACCUCUUCACUUACCCCUUUCAGACGCCACCUAUGAAGAACUGUAUGUAAACGUGUCAAACUGACACAACAUUAUUUGACGGCACUCAAUAUUCUAUUGCAACAAAAAUAGUGUCAUAAUAUAUCAAUUUAGGUGUUAUAGUAACUCGUCCUAAUUAAGUAGUAAUUAAAUAUCUAUUUAUCCUGAAGACGUUGAUGUUCUCUUUUGGCAUAAAUAGAAUGAAACUUUAGGCUAGAAAUAUUGUUAAAAUUCAUUCUUGGUUAUGUACAUUUCGAGCAAAGGAAAAUUAUACUUUCCACAAAUCCCUUAAAGCUUAUGAAGCGCUGAAGACAAAAAAACACUGACACUGCAUGUUCGCCCUGCUUGUUUC